CUGUGUGGAGUUUGCAUGUUCUGCCCGUGUCUGCGUGGGUUCUGUCCAGGUGCUCCGGCUUCCUCCCACCAUCCAAAGACAAGCGGCCUUGGUUGAUUGGUGACCCUAAAUUGUCCGUAGGUGUGAGUGUGAGUUUGACUGGUUGUGUACCUUCACACCUAUUCUUCUCUUGGUACAAAAAGGGUUCUUUUAUACGCAAACUACACUGUAGACAAUAAUUGAAUCUUAAUUAUAUAUAAACAUUCCUGACUCUGUUGAAGAAGCUUGUAUGGUUUUUAUUAAAUCAUAGCCACAUUUUAACUGCCUGAAUAACAAGCCCAACUCUGGUGUUCACAAAAUAUUGUGGGAGUCUAAACUAGUGUCAUGAUUUCUGGUGAAUGAAGUGUCAGUCUGUAGCUACUUCAGCUACCUGUGGAUGAAUCUGUAUUUUAAAGUUGUAGCUGGUCCAAGUGAAGCUACUUUUACCUUAUUUGUAUCCUGGGUUCACAGCCAAUUACAUGUUUUGUAGGCCUUUAUUACAUAUGAAUCUGCAGAGUAACUGUUAUAACAACUCUAAAUGUGACUAUACUGUCUGUGAGUGGAGUACAUGUAGGCCUAUAAAGAAAAGGCUACUCAAGUAACUAAAAAUUGUAAUUAAGAAGCCAACAGUAGGCCUACUUUAAGGCUACUUCAUUACUUUCCACUACUGGUUUUUAUUAAGACUACCAUAGAACAAACUGCAGUCACAGUGUGAUUAAAAAUGAACAUCAAGGAGUUGCUCAAAUUUAGAUUAAGAAAUAUAUAAUUUGGUCAAAAUAAUAAGUAAAGUAAACAAAUUAAACCGAGAGCAAGAAGUCUAUAAUCGUAAUCUAUGAGUUUGAAAAAAUAUUUCAUCUUGCAUCAGCCAUGCAGAUCACAGUGCGUCUGCCAUCCGAUAAAACUUUAGUUUGAGGGACAUAGCAGUUCAGCUGGAAGUUGUAAGCAUGGAGGUUUUUCGGAUAUUUGAUGAAGAAAACCAUAAGAACUGGUUGAAAGGCGUUGUUGGUUUGAGGCUUCUUCAGAACCUGCUUGAGUGUUUUAUUAAUAAGCAGAUCGACAUUUUCCACCAAGCACUGCGCAGGGAAUGCUCGGAUGUGUGCGGCAAUAAAUGCCAUUUAAAAAACUGGAAACUACGGCCAAACCAGGUUCCUAUAUUAGAUUGUGAGGUGUGUUCGCAUUGGAGAGAUGUGAUAUGGACCAACAACAACAGUCAGGGUGGAAAGGUAAUGUGGAUGAACAGUGAACCCCACAUGUGGUCCCAAGAUAAAUGGGAAGUGGCAAAGGUGUACAUGACAGGCGGUCAUAAGAACCAUAAAUCAAUUGGUCAGUUUGACAUUGUUGCGCUUCUGUCUCUCAUGACUCAAUGCAAUCACUUCAAGAAGUUUAAGCUGGGUGGAUUGUGUGAGCAGGUUGCCAAUGUCCGAAACAAUAUCAUGCAUUCUCCAAAUUACCAGCUGAAACGAGAGGAAUUGAAUGGAUACCUUAGUCAAAUCAGAGAUCUGGGUGAGGUGCUGGCAAAACAUGAUCCUGUGUUCAAAUACCUGUCUGGAGACAUCAAUGAGAUUCAGAACCUUGACUUUAGACUGACCUUUCCUGACAACAUACAGCAACAGCAGAAGAAAUUCCGAUUCAUGAAAAAGAACUAGAGGACAAACUUUUUUUCGUCAAAGAAAACUAUAAUACCCAAGUCUUCCUCAGAAGGUGAAGAAGCUGGAGAAACGCCUCACUGAGUGUUACAGGGAAAGGGACACUCUUUGCCUCUUCUACGAAGCCAAGCUCAGGAGGCAGCAGCAACUGAUUGCGAAUCGUGACAGACACAUAGAGAACAUGCGCUCUGCUCCUGUGGAAAUGGACAUUGGCCGUCAUGCUCAGGCUCCCAUCAACCCGGAUGAGAGGAUACAACUUGUGGCUGCAUUGCCAAUGGCACUCGAUUUUGUGGCAGCGAUUUUUAUGGCUGUGUUGUCAAUACUUUAAAUGUGAGUAAUGAUGAUAAUUAGAUACAGCAUGAUUACAUGUAGUAUUCAUGUCAGUUUUAUCUUGUUAAAGAUAAAGACACAAUCCUGAAUAAAGACUGUUACUAUUUAAAUAUUUCUUGUCUUUGACUAAAGAAGCUGUGUAAACAUUAAAUAAAACCACAGCUAUGCUUGAUGGCUUUGGUUUUGUAUGUGUGGGUAGGGUAGAAUGCUGUAUGCAUAUAUCAUUGUUCUUUGUAUUAUGAGGUAUUUCUAAACCCCUUUCAUACAGCUUUUAAAUCCAUACAGUGUUUUUCUGCACUGCCCUAUGGUGUAAUAAAGAUUUCUGCUGUCAGAAUUCCA